rnacentral:rRNA from 1 species
AGAGUUUGAUCCUGGCUCAGGAUGAACGCUGCGGCGUGCCUAACACAUGCAAGUCGAACGGACUUACACAGAAGCAGGAGAUGCUUGCAUUGACUAACGGAAGUGUAAGUUAGUGGCGGACGGGUGAGUAACGCGUGGGCAACCUGCCCCAUACCGGGGGAUAACACCUGGAAACAGGUGCUAAAACCGCAUAAGCGCACAGCUUCGCAUGAAGGUGUGUGAAAAACUCCGGUGGUAUGGGAUGGGCCCGCGUCUGAUUAGCUGGUUGGCGGGGUAACGGCCCACCAAGGCGACGAUCAGUAGCCGGCCUGAGAGGGUGGACGGCCACAUUGGGACUGAGACACGGCCCAAACUCCUACGGGAGGCAGCAGUGGGGAAUAUUGGACAAUGGGGGAAACCCUGAUCCAACGACGCCGCGUGAGUGAAGAAGUAUUUCGGUACGUAAAGCUCUAUCAGCAGGAAAGAAAAUGACGGUACCUGACUAAGAAGCCCCGGCUAACUACGUG